AAUAAGUGCAGUUUUGCACUAUUCACGUUCAACGUUUGACCGUCCGUCUUAUUUGAAAUUUUNUAAAUUUUUCAAAUAAGACGGACGGACAAACGUUGAACGUGAAUAGUGCAAAACUGCACUUAUU
rnacentral:pre_miRNA from 1 species